UUCCAUAUUUCCCAUCGUAGUUU
rnacentral:snRNA from 1 species